UGGGGAAUAUUGCACAAUGGGGAAGACCCUGAUGCAGCAACGCCGCGUGAAGGAAGACGGUUUUCGGAUUGUAAACUUCUGUUCUUAGUGAAGAAUAAUGACGGUAGCUAAGGAGCAAGCCACGGCUAACUACGUGCCAGCAGCCGCGGUAAUACGUAGGUGGCAAGCGUUGUCCGGAAUUACUGGGUGUAAAGGGAGCGCAGGCGGGAGACCAAGUCAGCUGUGAAAACUACGGGCUUAACCUGUAGACUGCAGUUGAAACUGGUUUUCUUGAGUGAAGUAGAGGUUGGCGGAAUUCCGAGUGUAGCGGUGAAAUGCGUAGAUAUUCGGAGGAACACCGGUGGCGAAGGCGGCCAACUGGGCUUUAACUGACGCUGAGGCUCGAAAGUGUGGGAGCAAACAGGAUUAGAUACCC
rnacentral:rRNA from 1 species